ACCUGGCUGGCUCAUUGGUGGAGCAUGUGACUCUUCAUCUUGGGGUUGUGAGUUCGAGCCUUACACUGGGUA
rfam:Ailuropoda melanoleuca scaffold2053_20, whole genome shotgun sequence.